CCUACGGGGGGCAGCAGUCGAGAAUCUUUCACAAUGGGGGCAACCCUGAUGGAGCGACGCCGCGUGGAGGAUAAGGUCUUCGGAUUGUAAACUCCUGUCAUGCGAGAACAAGGUUGCAGGGCUAACACCUUUGCAAAUUGAUGGUACCGCAAGAGGAAGAGACGGCUAACUCUGUGCCAGCAGCCGCGGUAAUACAGAGGUCGCAAGCGGGGGUCGGAAUCACUGGGCGGGGGGGUGGCGUAGCAGAUGUGAAAGCCCGGGGCUCAACCUCGGAAUUGCAUCCGAUACUGCCAUGCUGGAGUACUGAAGAGGUGACUAGAAUUCUAGGUGUAGCAGUGAAAUGCGUAGAUAUCUAGAGGAAUACCAACGGCGAAGGCAGGUCACUGGGCAGUUACUGACACUGAGGCACGAAGGCCAGGGGAGCAAACGGGAUUAGAUACCCCAGUAGUC
rnacentral:rRNA from 1 species